GCCCACUUGGCGCAGUGGUACCGCGUGUCACUCGUAUCUAGAAUACGGAAAUGACAAGAUCAUUGGUUCGAUUCCAGUAGUGGGCA